rnacentral:rRNA from 2 species
UGCAAGUCGAACGGAAAGGCCCCUUCGGGGGUACUCGAGUGGCGAACGGGUGAGUAACACGUGGGCAAUCUGCCCUGCACUUCGGGAUAAGCCUGGGAAACUGGGUCUAAUACCGGAUAGGACCUUUAGGCGCAUGUCUUUAGGUGGAAAGCUUUUGCGGUGUGGGAUGGGCCCGCGGCCUAUCAGCUUGUUGGUGGGGUGAUGGCCUACCAAGGCGACGACGGGUAGCCGGCCUGAGAGGGUGUCCGGCCACACUGGGACUGAGAUACGGCCCAGACUCCUACGGGAGGCAGCAGUGGGGAAUAUUGCACAAUGGGCGCAAGCCUGAUGCAGCGACGCCGCGUGGGGGAUGACGGCCUUCGGGUUGUAAACCUCUUUCACCAUCGACGAAGGUUCGGGUUUUCUCGGAUUGACGGUAGGUGGAGAAGAAGCACCGGCCAACUACGUGCCAGCAGCCGCGGUAAUACGUAGGGUGCGAGCGUUGUCCGGAAUUACUGGGCGUAAAGAGCUCGUAGGUGGUUUGUCGCGUUGUUCGUGAAAUCUCACGGCUUAACUGUGAGCGUGCGGGCGAUACGGGCAGACUAGAGUACUGCAGGGGAGACUGGAAUUCCUGGUGUAGCGGUGGAAUGCGCAGAUAUCAGGAGGAACACCGGUGGCGAAGGCGGGUCUCUGGGCAGUAACUGACGCUGAGGAGCGAAAGCGUGGGAGCGAACAGGAUUAGAUACCCUGGUAGUCCACGCCGUAAACGGUGGGUACUAGGUGUGGGUUUCCUUCCUUGGGAUCCGUGCCGUAGCUAACG